CAGAGUACGUGAAACCGUUUAGGGGUAAACCUGAGAAACCCGAAAGGUCGAAGGGAGAAAUUCAUUCGCGUUUCGACGCAGGCGUGGGAGGGGGUCGAGCGACGGGACGCGUUCUUCGGAACGAGUUUCGCGCCCUCCGUCCUUCGAACCGGCGGCGAACGCGUGCACUUUUCUCCUGGUAGGACGUCGCGAUCCGUCGGGUGUCGGUCUACGACGACUUGCGGUGGAGCCCGUUCGUCGCGUCUCGUACGUGCGAACGGACCCGCUCGUUCCGGCCGACUCGCUCGACGGUAUACAUAAGGUCGGAGGCCGCUCGCAUUUUUUAUUAAGGAGCGUUCGACGCGUCGCAAGCGCGCCACGUGAGUCGGCACGCGGACCCAGUGCCGCGUCCGACCUCUGGUGACUGUUGGCGACGACGUUCUCGGACAGACCUCUUUCGUCGUUUUUUUUAAACGACGAAGACCGAUCGGCGACGCUAUAGCUUUGGGUACUUUCAGGACCCGUCUUGAAACACGGACCAAGGAGUCUAGCAUGUACGCGAGUCAUUGGGAAUCGCUAAACCUAAAGGCGUAAUGAAAGUGAAGGUCUUCCUAGCGGAGACCGAGGGAAGACGGACGAUCGUCGAUCACCCUCAAAAGUGGGAUCGUUCCGCAUUCCCGGGGCGUCUCGUUCCCCCUCGUGUUCGCGCGCGGCGGCGGGAAGAGGCGCACCAAGAGCGUACACGCUGGGACCCGAAAGAUGGUGAACUAUGCCUGGUCAGGACGAAGUCAGGGGAAACCCUGAUGGAGGUCCGUAGCGAUUCU
rnacentral:rRNA from 1 species